UGAAAAGCCAAAGUGCAGCUCAUGGUCUUCUGGUUGAACUUAUUGAUUCUGUGGAUGACUUCCAAGUGGUAGUUUCUGAUUCCAAACAGUCAAAUUUGGACACUGUGCAGCCAUGUGAUGCAAAACAAUCUUCAUUGAGUAACCCAUUUUCAGAAAUGAAUGGAAAUAGAACCUCAUGUUCUUACGUUGAAAUGCCAAUCCAUGUUGGAACGAGUGGAUUAGGGACCAGUGGAGUGGCUAUGGAGGGGCCAUCUGAAUCAGGUCCUUGCCAUUUGAAUAACAACAAUUGGAUUACAGGUGAUCAAUCUAGGCAUUGCUCAUCAAGGGAACCAUCCUGUAAUGGACUUAUGCUCAAUGAUUGGGGAAGAUGUGGCAUGCCUUCUCUUUCAUGGGGUGGUAGGGUUGUGGGCAGAAGACAGUUAAAAUGUUACGCAAAAGGGAAUUGUGGGGUUCGUGGGGAGGAAUAUGAUACGUUUGUCAAUAUAUUUGAAGGGGG
rnacentral:misc_RNA from 1 species